rnacentral:rRNA from 1 species
CAAUUCUUGACAUACUCGUCGCGGAUUCUAGGGAUUGUUUCCUUCACUUCGGUGACUCGGUGACAGGUGCUGCAUGGCUGUCGUCAGCUCGUGUCGUGAGAUGUUCGGUUAAGUCCGGCAACGAGCGCAACCCACGUCUUUAGUUGCCAGCAGUUCGGCUGGGCACUCUAAAGAAACUGCCCGUGAUAAGCGGGAGGAAGGUGUGGAUGACGUCAAGUCCUCAUGGCCCUUACGGGUUGGGCUACACACGUGCUACAAUGGUGCCUACAGUGGGUUAAUCUCCAAAAGGCAUCUCAGUUCGGAUUGGGGUCUGCAACUCGACCCCAUGAAGUCGGAAUCGCUAGUAAUCGCGUAACAGCAUGACGCGGUGAAUACGUUCCC